ACGAACGCUGGCGGCGUGCUUAACACCUGCCAGUCGAACGGUGAAGCUCCAGCUUGCUGGAGUGGAUCAGUGGCGAACGGGUGAGUAACACGUGAGCAACCUGCCCCUGACUCUGGAAUAAGCGCUGGAAACGGCGUCUAAUACUGGAUACGAGAAGGGUCCGCAUGGGCACUUUCUGGAAAGUUUUUCGGUUGGGGAUGGGCUCGCGGCCUAUCAGCUUGUUGGUGAGGUAAUGGCUCACCAAGGCGACGACGGGUAGCCGGCCUGAGAGGGCGACCGGCCACACUGGGACUGAGACACGGCCCAGACUCCUACGGGAGGCAGCAGUGGGGAAUAUUGCACAAUGGGCGAAAGCCUGAUGCAGCGACGCCGCGUGAGGGAUGACGGCCUUCGGGUUGUAAACCUCUUUCAGCAGGGAAGAAGCGAAAGUGACGGUACCUGCAGAAGAAGCACCGGCUAACUACGU
rnacentral:rRNA from 1 species